UGUACUCUCUUAAAUAAGAGUUUGGCUUUGGCCUUCGAAGAGAAGAUCAGCUAUUUAAUUGUUGCUCUGCCCCUGAUGAAUGCAGCCUGUGUGAGGGUUGAUGUAGGUUCAGGUAAACUUGUAUUAAUACAAGUUUAAUACUCCAGCAAUCAAGCAGCAUUAUGUUUUCUUCUGCACUCAGACACGUAGCAGUGCCUGAUCUCUGAGGCAAGAUGCUUUUUAAUCUCUGCAUUCUUUGAAAUCUCAGUUAAGAGGUGGCACAGAGGGAAAAGAUGCCCACGUUCUAACGGCACAGGACUGCAGACAGGCUGUUUCUCAGCAAGCAGAUUCAGAGACUGAGGGAAAUCUCUCAUUACUGGUGCUGAUCUUUAAUGAUGGCGUUUUAACUUACAAGUUCCUGGUUAAUGACACAACUGCCAAUUAAAGCCCAGUGACCUCAUUUGUUGAAAAC
rnacentral:lncRNA from 1 species